CGGAUUGAAAAAGAUAUUGCUGUGAUUUAUGUCAAAGAGUGCUCUGCCUAUGUUUUCCUCUAGGAGUUUUAUAGUAUCCAGUCUUACAUUUAGAAGACCACAGAGAGGCGCAGCUGCACCCCCAUGAGAAACCACACGGACAGCCGCUUCCCCCAGGCCUCAUUCCACCAGAAAUACACUGGGUGUCUGCCCCUGUGUUAUGGUCAAGAUCGCCAUCUGCUUCCUGAGUUUCAGGAUCACAGCUGACAGAAGCGUAUCACAACCGUGUGUGCGUAUAUAAUUGAGACAAUAAUAAACAAACGGUUUUCCAUCUUGACUCUCUCACUACAGAGCAUCAAGACUACAAAGAUACCUUCAGAAACAUCACUUGUAUUAUAUGCUGGAUUAUAUUUAAGAGGACACCACAGUUUAUCCUCUGUUAUUGGGCAUUUGAAUUGUUCCCAACAUUUUGUAAUAAAAAAACUGUGUUGACCAUCUGCGUACACGGUGCUCAAAACACUUCCUGAAUGAGCAUUGUACACAAAUCUUUGAUUGGAACUCUGAUUAUUUCUUUAGAAUAAAGCCUUAUAAGUGAAAA